rnacentral:lncRNA from 1 species
GCACACACGCACGCACACACACUCGCACACACGCAGAGGCACGGGAGGGAAAGAAGCCGAUGAAUAAUUUUGCUAUUUUUUAAAAUACUGGCCGCCAUCAUCAAGCAGCGAGCAGCAGCAGAAGCGUUGAAGGGAGAGGAGGCAUCGGGACAGGCCCCUCUUAGGAGAGGAUUUAUAUCUAGUUGGAAAAAAAAAGAAAGAAAAGAAAAAGAAGAAAAAGAAGAAAAAAAUUGUCAAGCCCCCGAACUGAAGGUUACGAGCGGCCCGUCAGCAGCCCACAUGUAACCGAACUGUCGUGUUUCAUGGCUUUUUGCCACUCCAGCUGUCAAUCAAAGCCCGGAAUGUCAAGGUAGUGAAUGAAUGAUGGUUGAUGAUGAUGAAGAGGAGGAAUCUUUCAGACCCGUUUUUUUCUUCCAGUAAAACUCCGCGAGGGGUUUCUGCUUCUUGAAUUUUUUCCUCCCCCCUCCCCCCUUUUUUAGCUUUGCCCCCGCGGUAUCUAUAAUACGAUCCUCUCUCUUUAAAGUAUUGUUCAAAGAAAGCAGUGAGAAAAAUCAAGAAAAAAAAAUGAAUAGUUUGCAAAAAUUGGACUUCCUCCCCCCCUUUCCUGGUGUUGGCAG